AGUCCCGCAACGAGCGCAACCCCUAUUCUUAGUUGCCAGCAUGUAAUGAUGGGGACCCUAAGGAGACUGCCUGCGCAAGCAGAGAGGAAGAGGGGAUGACGUCAAGUCAUCAUGGCCCUUACGCCCAGGGCUACACACGUGCUACAAUGGGUGGUACAGAGGGUAGCGACACAGUGAUGUGAAGCCAAUCUCAAAAAGCCACUCUCAGUUCGGAUUGGAGUCUGCAACUCGACUCUAUGAAGCUGGAAUCGCUAGUAAUCGCGCAUCAGCCAUGGCGCGGUGAAUACGUUCCCGGACCUU
rnacentral:rRNA from 1 species